rnacentral:rRNA from 1 species
AGAGUUUGAUCCUGGCUCAGGAUGAACGCUAGCGGCAGGCCUAAUACAUGCAAGUCGAACGAGAAGUCAGGCGCUUGCGCUUGAUGGAAAGUGGCGAACGGGUGCGUAACACGUAUGCAACCUACCUUUAACAGGAGGAUAGCCCGGAGAAAUCCGGAUUAAUACUCCAUAUCGUAAUGAAGUGGCAUCACUUUAUUAUGAAAGCUCCGGCGGUUAGAGAUGGGCAUGCGUUCCAUUAGUUAGUUGGUGAGGUAACGGCUCACCAAGACCACGAUGGAUAGGGGGUCUGAGAGGAUGAUCCCCCACACUGGUACUGAGACACGGACCAGACUCCUACGGGAGGCAGCAGUAGGGAAUAUUGGUCAAUGGACGUAAGUCUGAACCAGCCAUGCCGCGUGCAGGAUGACGGCCCUAUGGGUUGUAAACUGCUUUUAUAUGGGAAGAAACCCGAGUACGUGUACUCGGCUGACGGUACCAUACGAAUAAGGAUCGGCUAACUCCGUGCCAGCAGCCGCGGUAAUACGGAGGAUCCAAGCGUUGUCCGGAUUUAUUGGGUUUAAAGGGUACGUAGGCGGGAUAAUAAGUCAGUGGUGAAAGCCUGCAGCUUAACUGCAGAACUGCCAUUGAAACUGUUAUUCUUGAGUUCGGUCGAGGUGGAUGGAAUAUAUCAUGUAGCGGUGAAAUGCUUAGAUAUGAUAUAGAACACCGAUUGCGAAGGCAGUCCACUAGCCCGACACUGACGCUGAGGUACGAAAGCAUGGGUAUCGAACAGGAUUAGAUACCCUGGUAGUCCAUGCUGUAA